rnacentral:sRNA from 1 species
GUCGUGAGAUGUUGGGUUAAGUCCCGCAACGAGCGCAACCCCCGCUCCCAGUUGCCAGCGCGUUAUGGCGGGGACUCUGGGAGGACUGCCGGUGCCAAACCGGAGGAAGGUGGGGACGACGUCAAGUCAUCAUGGUCCUUACGUCUAGGGCUACACACGUGCUACAAUGGGUCGGACAGUGGGGGCCGAGGCAGCAAUGCCAAGGCAAUCCCAAAACCGAUCCUCAGUUCGGAUUGUCGUCUGCAACUCGACGGCAUGAAGCUGGAAUCGCUAGUAAUCGUGGAUCAGCAUCGCCACGGUGAAUACGUUCCCGGGCCUUGUACACACCGCCCGUCACGCCAUGGAAGCUGCGAGUGCCCGAAGUCGGUGCCGGAACCCUUACGGGGCCAAGCCGCCGAGGGCAAGCGUAGUGACUGGGGCGAAGUCGUAACAAGGUAGCCGUAGGGGAACCUGCGGCUGGAUCACCUCCUUAACGGAGAAGCGAGUAGAACUGGCGCAAGCCAAAUCGAAAACUCUCACGUAGUUCGCUCGCCUCGUAACAUCCUUGAUCUCAACUCCGAUUUGUUUUUUUUCUCGCUCGACAGGUGUCGAAGCCUCUCGAGCGAAUUUCGCGCCCUCGUCACUCAGAAAAUCGAGAGGAUGUAGGAGCCAAGUUUUUUGACAACGGAUGUUAGUAGUGAUCGUGGGAUUCGAUGUUCGAGACCUGAUAAGAUCUCGAGCGUCAAGAAUCAACACUGAUUCAAUUUCGUCGUGCGUCGAAGAGGGAAACCGAUUCGACAAAACGAGCAAGAUUGAUUCAUUCGUAGAUUGCGCGUUGUAAGUUUUUUUUAUGUUGUUUUGCUUUGAGACAGAAAUCUGAUCAAGCGAAAGAAGGUAUGUGGGGGAUGCCUGGGUACACGGAGGCGAAGAAGGCCGUGGUAAGCUGCGAUAAGCCAGGGGGAGCGGCACACACGCUACGAUCCCUGGAUGG